CUCGCUCAAUAAUUCAGUUUAAACUUUGGUGAAGUCAAACGAAAGACAGUGCAAUGAAGUCACUGCGCGCACAACUGCUGGGGCGUGUGUUGCCAAUAUUCUUGCUCUUGCUGCUCUAUCAGGUGCUGCUCACUGAGGCAUAUAUGCGUAGCGUACGUAUUGCGGAUAUUCCAUUCAGUUUGACAGACAACGCCGAUGAAAAUCAUGUAAAUGAGGGACGUUUGGUUGGCCAGAUGGUGGGCGUAGAAGGGAGAGGCAUCCAUGCGAUUUCUAGUCUGGAACAGCGACGUAGCUUCUUUCAUAUAUUCAAUAUACCUUAUAUUGUUUGCUUUUUUGCCGCUAAAGGCAAGUGGCCAUUCAUACCAAACUUCAUACAGGGACGCGUCGAUGCGACUGCACGCACCUUCUUCAAACAAAACGAUAGCUCCAUCAAGCAAUUUUGUGAAAAGUGGAUACAGAUUAAGGAGUGCUUUAGACCCAUUUUUGCAACGGUCACGGCUACUGAUGUUGAAAGGCUUGGCCCGGUACGUUCUACUCCUUGCACAUGCGCAAAUCUGAUCAAUGAACCAGUUGUUUUCUUCGAUAAGGAUCACAUUGGCAAUGUGAGCAGGGAUACUAUUUUAAAUACCAUAGAAUUUUUGGAAAGUUUUCUUCCACCACCGCCGUCAAAGAAGACGAAGAAGAAAAAUCGCGUACGCAGCAGAGUGGAUGAAAUGGAUAUUGAUUGAAGGGCAUGAAGAAUAUCGUACAUAUAAACGUAGUACAUAUCAAUGUGUAUGUAUAUGUACAAAUAUAUUUUUUUCUUCAAUCAAAAUAUACCGCGCAGAUGUACACAGAUCGUUUACUUUUCACCUCAACCGUUUACUAUGGCUAGCCGCAAACAUCUGAGAAAUUCAAGACCUAGUCCAUUUGGUUUUAUUCUUUAAUAGCUGCAAAACGUAAUGAGUCUUUACACACACAGCAGCAAAAACAAACCGACAGCAGCAGCAGC